rnacentral:rRNA from 1 species
CCAUGCGGAGGAAAAGAAACCAACAGGGAUUGCCUUAGUAACGGCGAGUGAAGCGGCAAAAGCUCAAAUUUGAAAUCUGGCACCUUCGGUGUCCGAGUUGUAAUUUGAAGAAGGUAACUUUGGAGUUGGCUCUUGUCUAUGUUCCUUGGAACAGGACGUCACAGAGGGUGAGAAUCCCGUGCGAUGAGAUGCCCAAUUCUAUGUAAAGUGCUUUCGAAGAGUCGAGUUGUUUGGGAAUGCAGCUCUAAGUGGGUGGUAAAUUCCAUCUAAAGCUAAAUAUUGGCGAGAGACCGAUAGCGAACAAGUACAGUGAUGGAAAGAUGAAAAGAACUUUGAAAAGAGAGUGAAAAAGUACGUGAAAUUGUUGAAAGGGAAGGGCUUGAGAUCAGACUUGGUAUUUUGCGAUCCUUUCCUUCUUGGUUGGGUUCCUCGCAGCUUACUGGGCCAGCAUCGGUUUGGAUGGUAGGAUAAUGACUAAGGAAUGUGGCUCUACUUCGGUGGAGUGUUAUAGCCUUGGUUGAUACUGCCUGUCUAGACCGAGGACUGCGUCUUGACUAGAUGCUGCAUAUGACCC